rnacentral:tRNA from 1 species
GGGUAUAGCUCACUGGUUGAGCAUGUGCUUAGCAUGCAUAAGGUCCUGGGUUCAAUACCCAGUAUUUCCA